CGGGGAAGAAGACACAGGUGGCUGGUCAUGGAGAGCCCGCUGGGGGAAGAGCACACAGACAGGCACCGGCAGGCCAUUGACCAGCGGGACAAGGUGGGCUCAAUGUCAUCACAAGGGUGCUUAAGAGGGAAAGAGGAAGCCAUGAGGGUCAGAGUCAAAGGAAGACUUGAAGAUACUACACUGCGGACUUUAAAGAUGAAGGAAGGGGCGAAAACCAAGAAUGUGGGAAGCCUCUAGAAGCUAGAGAAGGCAAGGAAACAAAUUUUCCACUAGAGCCUCCAGAAGGAACACAGCCCUGCUGACCCACUGUAAUGUCUGACCUCUAGAUGUGUAAGGGUAGUAAGACUGAAAGUCUCAGAAAGGCACUGUUAAAUUCUUAUUCCUCAACUAUGCAACUCAAAACUGGGGUCCUCAGCAGUGAGCGAGGGGUGAGAGAAGACACUGUAUAAACAUGGCACAUCCUCCUGGAAAGUCAACUUUACUCAAAGGUUCUUACACACAGUGACAGCUAGCAGAGUCUAAAAUGCUGACAUUAUGACUUAGAGAUGUGAUAAAGAGAAACAUCUAUUGCAUUUUCUUGGCUCGUGUGGAAUGACUUAUCCUGGAAUUUAGAGUUGAAGAUAAUCCUGAUGCUUCAAAGAGAAGAGUUGGAACACAGUCCUUUUUUCUAAACAGAGGAAUUGUUGAAUAUGCGACUGAACCUCUGACUUAACUAAUUAGUUAAUUUGGAGCAGAGUUUGAACACAGUCCUUUUUCUAAACAGAGGAAUUGUUGAAUAUGCAACUGGUCCUCUGACUUAACUAAUUAUUUAAUUUGGAAGUUAUAGGUUUUUUAUUACUUGAGGAGCAGCUUUCUCUGAACAAAUACAGUGUCCCCUGGGGUGUCCAAAUUGUGACAGAAAAGUAGCGCCAGCUUGAAACUAGCUAGUCAUCACAUAGUGGCAUCAUGUGAAUGAAGAAUCCCCCAAAUCUGUGACCCUCUUCUAUCCUUAUGAACUAAUUCAAUAAAUAAAUGAGCACUUUCUCAGUUCCCAAACUGAGAGCAGUUUAAAAAAAUAAUGAGAGCACAGAUAUCUAUUUAGAGAGAUGGCGAGAUAGAGGAGAGAGCAAGUUGCACACCACGAAACAAAGGGAAAGAUAAGAAGAGAGAGUGUGUCACUACUUCCCCGUGGCAGAAUCACAAUCUUUUUUGGAUGUCAUGUUGAAAAGAUUCCCAAUUCGUAGUUCUGUGAGCUAAAGCAGAUGGAUGCUCCAUGUUGGUACAAAUUCCUAUUUGAAGCAGUGUGGUUGCAAAGAUGGGGUUUGGGUCAUUUGAUUUUCUCCGAAAAACAAUCUUGUGUAACUGUUAAAAGAAUU
rnacentral:lncRNA from 10 species